rnacentral:tRNA from 1 species
GGGGAUUUAGCUCAGUGGUAGAGUGCUUGCCUAGCAAGCGCAAGGCCCUGGGUUCAAGCCCCAGCUCCG